GAUGGAUGGGUGGGUGGCGAAGUGGAUUUUUUUUUAGGGUAGCCGGGAGUGUAAAGAGGGACAGCAAGGGGUAAGAAGGAACCAGCAGCGGUCGAGGGAGAGGGGCGGAGGAGUCCGGUGGGGAGGGGAAGCAUGGGUGGCGGUGGUUCUCCAAGCGUUGGGGACGAGAAGGGACGGAAAGGUAGCUUAGGCCGGCGGGUUCACCGGCUCCUCCAGGGGUUCGAGCCGCACGUGCCCUCGUAGGGUCACGAUCCGACGCAGCCUCCACGCUCUGAAGGUGCGGGGACGAGAAGGGGCAGGAAGAAGCUUAGACCAGCGGCUUCACGGCUUCCUACGCGAACUCGAGUCGUACGAGUGCCCGCUGGGUCGCGCCUACGGGCGUUGUUCUGUUGUUCAUCGCCCGCACCCACGCGUUUUUAUAUACCCGUGUCAAGCUACGGAGGUGACCGCACGGAGACAAACUACACGAUAAGUUCUAGGGACAUGUUAACACAAUAAGUUCUAUGUUACCGUGAACUACUACGAACGAUUCUUCCAGACGUUAUACGUGACCUGACAACGAACGGUCUACUGACCUUCUACCCAUGAAGUAGGAUAGAACAAACAAGUAAACUUCGUUCUAUUUAUUCUAAGUACGUAACAUUACUUUUGACGUCUAAAUCGGUUUGAGUUGACUACCACAUUAUAGAGAAGUAUACUCGUCGUCAUUACCAUAGAAAACAUCCUCAUUAUUCCGUAACGACGUAUUUAUAUGAACUGACUACCACAUUAUAGAGAAGGAUAUACGGACUAGGAGUAUAGAAGAACAAACCGUUUCUCAAGUGUUAAACGUGCAUCAGAACUUACCUCUUUUAACGUGUACGAUAACAUGUUGACCCGUUACCACACCUCGAGGUAUUCACUGCGGCCGCUGAGAUCGACAGGAAGAGCGGAUACGUAGGGUUGUCUCUUCGAAAUCUUUGAUAUUAGGCAGAUGAGGAACAAGUCCUAGUCAUUACUUGUAUAAUAAUGUGUUUAAUUAAAUUGUUUUGACGUAAGAGAAAAAACCACUACUUUGACAUCGUUGUAACCGUACCAAAAACAGUUAUGAUGUUUUCUCCCCCUAUCAAAAAAAAACUCCAUUUUUCUCCCCCUAUCAACUAGCAACCUUUGUGGUAACUGCGUCCCAACUGCGUUUUGACCCAAUAUCUAGUUAAUAGAAGGGUGAAGUCAUUGUGGUACUAGAACAUGAACGAAAACCUUUUAGUACCUGCUUGC
rnacentral:rRNA from 1 species